UACGAAGGGAGCUAGCGUUGUUCGGAAUCACUGGGCGUAAAGCGCACGUAGGCGGACGUGUCAGUCAGGGGUGAAAUCCCGGGGCUCAACCUCGGAACUGCCUUUGAUACAGCACGUCUUGAGUCCGGAAGAGGUGGGUGGAAUUCCUAGUGUAGAGGUGAAAUUCGUAGAGAUUAGGAAGAACACCGGUGGCGAAGGCGGCCCACUGGUCCGGUACUGACGAUGAGGUGCGAAAGAGUGGGGAGCAAACAGG
rnacentral:rRNA from 1 species